GUAAGGAUUCGGAUAUUUACUUGCCGCCUUUUGUUAAUGGUUGGUUUAGUUACUGUUAAUUGUCUUUUGGUAAAAAUUGGUAACAUUUAAAUUAUUUCUUGAUUCUUGUGUUUCAGAAUUUGACUCUUUAAAAGAUUAGUCUGGGCACGGUAUCCAGAUUGUCAUGAAAUAGCGAAGCGAUGCUUAUUAACAAAUAUAUUGAUUAAUAACUGCUUUCAUAUUUCUACAGGACAAGUUCAAUGGUCCAUUUGAGUCUUUUUUCUUGCUCAUGUAUACAAUGCUGUCGUGAACUUGAAUGACCUUCAACUGUACCAAUGUGUCAAGCUGGAUUAUUGUUACACGAGUUGUCAGACGAUUUACCUUCUGCUUUGUAUCCAAUGGAUUUGGAACCUGAUUUAUAUCUUUCCACAUUUUUCUCCAUCAAUCUCAACCUUUAAAACUUUGAAAAGAUGUCUUUUAAAGGCUAUGUAUCAGUUUUGCUAUUAGACCCAUUUCAUGUUAAAUUUUUAUUUUUUAGCAAAAAUAAUCAUUUUGAUGUACAUUGUGUGGCCAUGAAAUGAAAAGUCUACAUGAAAUUGGACGAUUAACAAGACCAGAAGGAAAAGGCCAGAUGAUAGAGCAUAAAAUUUAACCAAUCAAUAUUAUAUUAUCGAUAUCGAUCAAUGUUUCAAAGAGCUGAAGGCCCGAGUUUAAUUUACUUUGGUAAAAGGGAAAAAAGAGAGAAGGAUAAAGACUUGGAAAGGAUGAAAAAGAAGAAAAUUAAGCCAUCAAAAUCAGAUGACACCAAAAGGUGCAGGUAAAAGGUUACUUGGGAAAGACACUUGCCAAACCUCUGGAAAAACAAAAGAUUGAAAUUUAUUGAAUGGUACAAGUUCCCAACGAAAAGAUGAAUACGAUUAAAUAGAGUUUUUGGAAAUUGAAGGAAAAGAAGGAAUCAAAGCAAUCUUACCUGAGGUAUACGAAAAAGUCUAAGAAGAUUGGCAACUUGAAGGGAAACUUCACUAUAUGAACCUCCAACAACACCAUAUAUUGUCUUCAUACCGUACUUUGGUCUUGGUGGAAUCCCGUCCUUGCAUUCAAAGGCUGAAGCCUCAAAGGCAGUGUUUAUCGAGGCUCGUAUAAAUUCAAGUGAUUGAUUGAGUGCAUACGAAUCACUUGAACAAGUAUCCAAAAUGAUGGCUCCCAUUUUAAUAUUUGGUAAUAAACUUGAAUCAUUAUUAAUCUUGUCUAUGGCAAAUAACAUGGCUUCCACCCUUUGUACACCACGGUCCAUGUUGAGUCCUCCACAAGCUGAAUGAUAAUUACUUCCCGAGUUACCAGCUUUGGUCCCUUUUUUGGUUUGAUUUUGGGUUAAAAGCAAGAGAAAGACAAAAAAAGGAAGAAGGUUUAUUAAUCAUUAAACUAAUUAAUCAGUACAAGAGAAGUGAGAAAACCCGAAAAGAGAAAGACAAAAAUGAAUGGUUAAAAAGAUCACAUUUAUCAUUGUAUUUGAAUAAUGACUAGGAAAUAAUUUGAAUCAUUUAAGUUUGAUUACAUUUUUACUCUUCUUGCCCACAAUUUUGUCCUGCUGUUCUAGUCUCGUUAAAUAUUCAAUAUUAUUAUUAUGUUAUAAUUAUCAUGAAACAAAUGUUAACUCUUUUUUCCUAGUUUCAUCUAUAAUUUAAUGUAUUGUUAUGGUUUUUUUAUUUUCAAAAUUGCUGAUUGCUUUUAUGUUUAAUUUUUACAUUUGUUUUUUGUUUCUCGUUGAUGGGAAAAUGUUUGAUGUCAAAAUUGUUUUCAAUGUAAAUUAAUAUUAAUUCAAUUUGCUUUGACAUUGAUAACCUUUUAAUGUUAAACAUCACUCGUCUCAACAUGAGCCUUUCAAAGCUCAAUAAGUCAUCAUCGCCAUUUAAAAUGCCAUUAACAUGAAAGUUGAAGAAGCAAGAGUGAAAAAGAUUACAUCAUAAAAUUCCAAUAUAAAAAUAAUAUCAUCAACAUGAAGUCUAUCAGAAUCAAAAGGAACCUUGAACAAUGCCAUUGCACCCAUAAGGACAUUCAAUAUUUCACAGUGACAGGGAUUGAAUCUUUUACCAAAAAUGUAAUUCCAUUCUAACAAACCAACUAAAUUGUGAUUAGAGGGCAGUUUAAUAAAUGUAAUAUCAGCUGAAUAAAAAUAUUUUCAAGCUGUGAAUAAAAGAAUUGAAUUCUGAAGUUGCCUUCAGAAUUCAAUUCCGACAGUCAAGUAACUGUCUAAGGUUAGGUUACAAUUUCAUGUCACUUCCACAAGUCUUAGAACGGUUUCGAACCUGGUUCGCAUUCGUUCUAAGACCAUACGGCUCACCCAUCUAAGCCAUGGGCCUGGCCAAAAAAUUAACUGCAAAAAACAAAUGAAUUUUGAAACCAAUACAAUCGAUUCGAUACAUUUAAGGAUCUAUUGAUUGUUUACACAUGGUUUUAUCUGUAAAUUUUCAAUAAAGUCAAUCAAGUUAAAGUUACUGAAUGGUGAAUAUAAAACUAUUCAUAUUAACUCCGUUCUAACAAAUCAACUAAAUUGUGACUAGAUAAAUUGUAUAAUUAGAAAAGGAAUAAAAAAUAUUUUCAUGAAGCUAU